GAUGAACGCUGGCGGCGUGCUUAACACAUGCAAGUCGAACGGUGAAGGCGGAGCUUGCUCUGCUGGAUCAGUGGCGAACGGGUGAGUAACACGUGAGCAAUCUGCCCCUGACUCUGGGAUAAGCGCUGGAAACGGCGUCUAAUACUGGAUACGAGCUGCGAAGGCAUCUUCAGCAGCUGGAAAGAAUUUCGGUCAGGGAUGAGCACGCGGCCUAUCAGCUUGUUGGUGAGGUAAUGGAUCACCAAGGCGUCGGCCGGUAGCCGGCCUGAGAGGGUGACCGGCCACGCUGGGACUGAGACGCGGCCCAGACUCCUACGGGAGGCAGCGGUGGGGAAUGUUGCACAAGGGGCGAAGGCAUGAUGCAGCAACGCCACGUGAGGUGCGACGGCCAUCGGGUUGUAAACCUCUUUUCGCAGGGAAGAAGCGAAAGUGACGGUACCUGCAGAAAAAGCGCCGGCUAACUACGUG
rnacentral:rRNA from 1 species